AUUGAACGCUGGCGGCAUGCUUUACACAUGCAAGUCGUACGGGAUGGCUGGGCAACUGGCCAUUCAGUGGCGAACGGGUGAGUAAUCGAUCGGAACGUAUCCGAGCGUGGGGGAUAACUACUCGAAAGAGUAGCUAAUACCGCAUAUGCUCGAGGAGAAGCGGGACUUGGCUCGCGCGCCGGAGCGGCCGAUUGCCGAUUAGCUAGUAGGUGAGGAAUGGCUCACCUAGGCCACGAUCGGUAGCGGGUCUGAGAGGACGAUCCGCCACAC
rnacentral:rRNA from 1 species